GAUGAACGCUAGCUACAGGCUUAACACAUGCAAGUCGAGGGGCAGCGGGAUUGAAGCUUGCUUCAAUUGCCGGCGACCGGCGCACGGGUGAGUAACGCGUAUCCAACCUUCCGUACGCUCAGGGAUAGCCUUUCGAAAGAAAGAUUAAUACCUGAUGGUAUGAUGAGAUUGCAUGAUAACAUCAUUAAAGAUUCAUCGGUGUACGAUGGGGAUGCGUUCCAUUAGGUAGUAGGCGGGGUAACGGCCCACCUAGCCUACGAUGGAUAGGGGUUCUGAGAGGAAGGUCCCCCAACUUGGAACUGAGACACGGUCCAAACUCCUACGGGAGGCAGCAGUGAGGAAUAUUGGUCAAUGGACGAGAGUCUGAACCAGCCAAGUAGCGUGAAGGAUGAAGGUCCUACGGAUUGUAAACUUCUUUUAUAAGGGAAUAAAACCUCCCACGUGUGGGAGCUUGUAUGUACCUUAUGAAUAAGCAUCGGCUAACUCCGUGCCAGCCGCCGCAGUAAAAC
rnacentral:rRNA from 1 species